UUUUUUUCUUUCUGUUUCCCCGGCUCGAUUUUUAUUUUUGCUUCCCCCCCCCACCCCCAUCACUUUUAUAAUGGUCCGCCCCUUACUGAAGUCACGUUAUUUAUACUGGACAGCUUCAUCAGUCUUCCUUACACAGGAUAGCUCUGUCAGUUCUAAACUGUUUUUCCUUGAGGUGAAAGAAAAUAUGUUGAUUCAGUGUCACUAAUAUGUUGAUCCCUUGCUCAAAUUUACCCGGUUAACUCGAACUGUAUUUUUGAGACGUGGAUCAGCAAACCUCAAAAUGUCAGAACAUAGCACAAUGACAAG